rnacentral:tRNA from 1 species
UCUUCCGUGGCGCAAUCGGUGGCGCGUCUGACUGUUAAUCAGAAGGUCAAUAGUUCGAUCCUAUUCGGAAGAG